AUUUUUUGAUAAUGUUUUACAUUUUUUAAAUAAUGUUGUACCUAUUUUAGUUUAAAAUUUAAUUAAAAAUAUGCAUAUUAUACACUUCUAUCCUAUCAGCUGCAUUAUUAUGUAUGAGAAUUAAAUUUCACACUUUGCCGAUAACUUUAUUUAUAUGUAUACUUUAUUGUGGCAAUUAGUAUAAUUGGUAUAAUUAAUCAAAAAUAACAGUGAACUAUAAUAUUACUUGACACAAGACAUUUGAAUUUGACCAGCAAUUAAUGCAAAUUCAUAUUGCAUACUGGUACCGGUACCUAUAGGUAAUUGAUACUGGUUCCAAUCUGAAUACUUCAUAAAUCAAUAUGGAAUAAAAUAUACAAUAGAUUAACAAUUAUUUAUUGGCAAAUAAUAAAAUUGGUAUAGUUAAUUAAAAAUAACGUUGAACUAUAAUAAUAUGACUAGACACUAGACAGUUGAAUCUGACAAGUAAUUAAUGCAAAUUCAUAUUGCACACUGGUAUCUUGCUACUGGUUCCAAUCUGAAGACUUCAUAAAUUAAUAUGGAAUAAAAUAAACAAGAGACUAAACAAUAACUACGGAAUUCAUAUGGUUUUCAUUCAAAUUUCAAUUGAAUUUAGUUGUAUUAACU